rnacentral:tRNA from 1 species
GCAGAGAUAACCAAGCCCGGUCAAUGUACAUUUACAAUUAAAUGUAUAGAUUACCGGUGAUGGACUCAAGAUCCAUUGACACAGGUCUGCGUGGGUUCAAAUCCCACUCUCUGCA